rnacentral:lncRNA from 1 species
GAAAACGGAUUAAAGUUGAUUAAUUAAGUUUAUUAAUUUUUUUCUCUUUUAAUUUGUAUGUUCUCUAAAUUGAUUUUUGGAUCUGAUAUGAUAUUAUAGGAAGAGUAGAGAUGAAUAAUAGGAAAAUUAAUUCUUUUUUCAAAAGGAAAGCAUGUGAAAUUGAAAGAGAAGAGAGAGAAGAAAAAAUUAUAAUCCCGGCAUCCGAAUCUGAAACAGUUCUUGAGAAUCCAAUAAUUGAAGAGCAUCAUGGUUUUGAAAAUUCUUUGGAACGCGAUCCUGGAAAGCGUCCUCCGAUUUGGCAAUAUCCACCAAAUCAAGUGGAUG